UACGUAGGGCGCAAGCGUUAUCCGGAAUUAUUGGGCGUAAAGAGCUCGUAGGCGGUCUGUCGCGUCUGCUGUGAAAACUCGGGGCUUAACCCCGGGCCUGCAGUGGGUACGGGCAAACUGGAGUGUUGCAGGGGAGACUGGAAUUCCUGGUGUAGCGGUGAAACUGCGCAGAUAUCAGGAGGAACACCGGUGGCGAAGGCGGGUCUCUGGGCCGAUACUGACGCUGAGGAGCGAAAGCGUGGGGAGCGAACAGG
rnacentral:rRNA from 1 species